CAUAUUCCACCUUCCAGAAUACUCUUACUCUCUCUCUUCUCUCUCUCUCUCUCUCUCCCUCUCCCUCUCUCUCUUUGUGAAACCCUAGCAUUCCUGUUGUUUAUCCAUCUACGCCAGUGACUAGUAGAGGUUGGCGUCUGCUACUCUCGGUAUGUUCCUCUUUCCUCUCUCUCUCUCUCUCUCUCUCUCUCUACUCUUUCUGGCUAGGGUUUUGUCUACCAUCAUGUGUUUCAGUGCAUGGAGUCGGGCCCAUGGCCAACCUCUGAGGCACUCUGAUGAAAAUCUAUCUUUAUCCCGAUUGAGGCAAGAUUAGGCCAAAUAAAGCAAAAAGUUCGACUCAAAAGUUGUAUCUCCACUUAGAUGAUAAUAAUCAUGAGAACAAUAGUGUAUAUUUCUAUUUUUUCCUAUUGGAAGAAACAUUCAGAGCAUCGUUGAUUCCGAAGUACUCAAGAACAGAAGAGGGAAGUUUGGGGAUCUUGAAAGGCAUACCAGCUCAGAGACACCGGGUCAACUCAUGCUAGUUUUCCUGCCCCGUAUCCCAUGAUUUCCAUCCUUCUUCCUCACUAGUUAGUAGUUGGGUUUUAUCAAAUUUCAUGCGCUUGCAAUUUUUCUGCCCCCCAUUAUUUAAAUAUUCGGUCCUUACGGUUCUGGAUCUAGUGCAUGGAUUCUUGAAUUUUAGGAUUUUUUGUCUUGUUUUGUUUGCGUUGCUUUUAUCCUCGAACCGAUAUUUCUAGGGCGAUUUCGAGAUUUAGGGUUUCAAUUGCUAUCUUGUAGCCUACAAAAAAUCAUGCUUGUAGGCAAGGGGAGUUGGUGUCAUUUUUGACACUUUUUCUUUCACUAUAUAUAGUCUGCUACCUUAAAAACUUGUUUAUAGUUAUGCAAAAUCUAGUGACAGCUGCUUCAGGUGUUAAAAAAAAAAAAAAAACUUAAUGAUGGUCAAUAAUAUCUUCAGUUUAAUGUACAAAUCCCUAGCUUUUUUCACCUUUUAUUUCAUUUUUAUUUUUGGUUUUUAAGAUUUUCGCUUCUUCAACAGCAGGAAUAAAUUAAGAAGAGGUGGGGGGGAACUAUGGAAAAUGGCAUUAUCAGGUUGGCAUGGUGUUCCCAAUUAAAAUUGAAAGAGAUUCAUUUGGAGUUUUAUGUUAAUUAAUUGAUGUGGGAUUAUGAGUUGGUGUAGUAGUAGUUUCUGGUUUUGUUUUUUAUGAAUUCUCUUUGUUUAGGAGUCCUUUCCAGAUACAAGAGUUUCCAAACUAAUUCUGGAUAAACUUUUCUAAGAAGAUGGAAUGAACUCCUUCUACAUGCCCUGUUUUCCCCCAAUUCUGUAUCAUAAUUUCUCAAAAUCCCUUUGUUAUCUUUGCUAACUUCUCUAUUGUUGGAAUGAAUGUUGUCUGUUUUGGAUAACUCAAAUAAUCAAGCAAUGAUUCAAACGUAAAAGUGAAGCGAAUCUGGUAUAAUGCUACACCAUGCAAUCACAUUUUUUUUUUUUUACUUUUCUUUUCUUUUCUUUGUUUAAUGCUGCACCACCUUUGCUUGUUCAUAAGUCUGUGAUUUUCUAUUACAUUUCAAUUUAACUGCUACUGACUUUGUUUUUUCUGUGAAGUGUUCAGAAUUCUUUUAAAUGUGAUUGAAAUUCUUUGAGAUCAACAGCGGAGGAAAUUUGAAAAUGGUUGUAUUCAUGGAUAUAAAUCAUUGUGAUGAGAAACUCAUAGAUUUGUUCAUUGCAAAAUUGUUGUUUUGCAAAAUUGUUGUUUUGCAUUGUGAUGUAAACAAUGUAAUAUGUAGUAUAUUGUGUGUUGAUGUCUAUUAUUAUUUAUUUCGUUUUAUAA